rnacentral:rRNA from 1 species
AUACAGAGGGUGCAAGCGUUAAUCGGAUUUACUGGGCGUAAAGCGCGCGUAGGUGGCUAAUUAAGUCAAAUGUGAAAUCCCCGAGCUUAACUUGGGAAUUGCAUUCGAUACUGGUUAGCUAGAGUAUGGGAGAGGAUGGUAGAAUUCCAGGUGUAGCGGUGAAAUGCGUAGAGAUCUGGAGGAAUACCGAUGGCGAAGGCAGCCAUCUGGCCUAAUACUGACACUGAGGUGCGAAAGCAUGGGGAGCAAACAGAAUUAGAUACCCUGGUAGUCCAUGCCGUAAACGAUGUCUACUAGCCGUUGGGGCCCUUGAGGCUUUAGUGGCGCAGCUAACGCGAUAAGUAGACCGCCUGGGGAGUACGGUCGCAAGACUAAAACUCAAAUGAAUUGACGGGG